UACGUAGGGGGCAAGCGUUGUCCGGAUUUAUUGGGCGUAAAGAGCGUGUAGGCGGCCAUGUAGGUCCGUUGUGAAAACUCGAGGCUCAACCUCGAGACGCCGAUGGAAACCAUGUGGCUAGAGUCCGGAAGAGGAGAGUGGAAUUCCUGGUGUAGCGGUGAAAUGCGUAGAUAUCUGGAGGAACACCGGUGGCGAAGGCGGCAUCCUGGACCAACACUGACGCUGAGUGAGCGAAAGCCAGGGGAGCAAACGGG
rnacentral:rRNA from 1 species